UUGCAGGCUAAAGCAGUCUUUUUUCUAGUUUUGAAAGCACUUUCAAAAAAAUGUGACUUUCCUACCUUUUUUCACAGUCAGACAUGCAUGUUGUAGUUCCAACACGCGUGAAAGCCCUACAUAAUGAAAGCCCGAUGCUGAUUGGCUGCUAAAAAAAAUAAUUAAGAUGUUUAUUUUUUGUCAGCCAAUCAGCAUCAAGCUUUCAUUGCAUCAAGCUUUCACGUUUGCCAUCUUGGUUUUUGAGUCUGUUUUCUGGUUGUCAUCGUCAUCUUUUACCCCUCAAUUUCCCUCUAAAAUCAAAGCCCUGCCCUCUUUCCACAAACUUAAACCAGGAAAAGUUCCGUACUCGGAGGUCAAUUUAUCUGCUGCGCCAAACAUAUUAAGUGUCAUUUAGUCAGCUGUUUUGGCGCAUCCAUCAGUGCGGAUGAAAGGCGCCGAGGCAGACUGGACACCCAUACAAUGCACAGACAGGGAGUGUAGCCACUCCUUGAUGAAGGCUCCGCAUCUGCACUGUCCAUUCUGCUCCCAGGACAGUCUCUUCACUGAUGAGAUUCUCCUCAAGGCGCACUACAGGGUCAAGCACGUGGAUAAAGGCAUCAACUUUGGGGGUCGUGCUACAAGAUGACUUUUAAGGUCCAUGUGAGUUGAAUGCAACACUUGUCUAAGUGACAAGCCAGCCGAGUGCAGCAAGAUCCAUCAGGUCAAAAGUCUGAAGGCCAAAUUGCCUCUGAGUCUGUGGUCCUCGAACGCAGCAGGAUACAACUGAGGCAUUGUUCAAUGGGAUUAGCUCUCAUUGUUUCAGAACUGGCUGUUAAUGCACUGACAGUGUUGAUAGCUGAAAUGCAGCAAAGUGCACCAGACUUUUCCACCUGAUGCACUGUGCUGCAUGUGGCAGAGGGUUAAUUAAGAUAAGUUGAAGGCAGUGGACAGCAGGACAAGAUAGUGGCAUUUGUGGAAGUUUUAUGAAAGUGACAGAUACCUGGGCUGGUUAUUCUUUAAUAGCAGAUACCAGUGUUUGAUAGACUCAAUUGUCACAGGCCAUGCCCAAGAGCAGAAAUACUUCAAGGGUGCCCACUCGCACUGCUACCAUUGUCACAACGGGUUCAGCAGGAGGGACAAGGCUAUGAAGCACUACCAGCAACACUUCCGUAAUCCAGAGACCACAAUACAGAUAGUUAUUACUCGGUAUGUCAACUAGAUCUUCACUACAUACACUGACCCAGCACCCAACAGUGCCAGCCUGGUAACACACCUCAUAGUCCCCCAGUCACAGCAGCCAUCGGAGACGGACACAUCAUCCCCGGGGCUAUGAGCAGACUGACGGGCAGCAGCCGCAAAUCGAGUACCAGUAUGCCUGCAUCAAUGAUCCGAGCCAGAGCACUGCCAAUGGGGAAGUUGUCCUUAUUGAAAUACCAGACGAAGGAAGCAAAGAGGAUUUGGAGGACGAGACUUGCUACACAGAGCACAACUUGUCGCUGCUGCUGCAGGAGAAGGAAAGUCUGGAGAAGACUCUUGAGGAGGAGCAGACCACGUUGGCCCAGACAGAGCACAGGAUGAAAGGCACUAUAGAAAGGCUUCGUACAAAGGUUGAGUAUUUGUCCAACACAAACACGUCACUCAAGCAGCAGCUGUCCAUGAUUCACACGUCCAGUUUGA